CAUGCUCGUCGAACGCGCUUUCGUUAAUUGAUUUUGAGAUGCUUGCAUCGAAGAUGAUUUUAACUAUAAAGUGAGUGGCGAACGGGUGAGUAACACGUGGGUAACCUGCCCAGAAGUGGGGGAUAACACCUGGAAACAGAUGCUAAUACCGCAUAACAAAAUUAACCGCAUGGUUGAUUUUUAAAAGAUGGCUUCGGCUAUCACUUCUGGAUGGACCCGCGGCGUAUUAGCUAGUUGGUGAGAUAAAGGCUCACCAAGGCAGUGAUACGUAGCCGACCUGAGAGGGUAAUCGGCCACAUUGGGACUGAGACACGGCCCAGACUCCUACGGGAGGCAGCAGUAGGGAAUCUUCCACAAUGGACGCAAGUCUGAUGGAGCAACGCCGCGUGAGUGAUGAAGGCUUUCGGGUCGUAAAACUCUGUUGUUGGAGAAGAACGUGUGUGAGAGUAACUGCUCAUGCAGUGACGGUAUCCAACCAGAAAGCCACGGCUAACUACGUGCCAGCAGCCGCGGUAAUACGUAGGUGGCAAGCGUUAUCCGGAUUUAUUGGGCGUAAAGCGAGCGCAGGCGGUCUUUUAAGUCUAAUGUGAAAGCCUUCGGCUUAACCGAAGAAGUGCAUUGGAAACUGGGAGACUUGAGUGCAGAAGAGGAGAGUGGAACUCCAUGUGUAGCGGUGAAAUGCGUAGAUAUAUGGAAGAACACCAGUGGCGAAGGCGGCUCUCUGGUCUGCAACUGACGCUGAGGCUCGAAAGCAUGGGUAGCGAACAGGAUUAGAUACCCUGGUAGUCCAUGCCGUAAACGAUGAAUGCUAAGUGUUGGAGGGUUUCCGCCCUUCAGUGCUGCAGCUAACGCAUUAAGCAUUCCGCCU
rnacentral:rRNA from 1 species